ensembl:lncRNA
GUUACAUCUCUAUCAAGCCUGUGCCUUAUGCUGAGACUGUACUGUAACCCAUUAUAGAGUUUUCCAAAGCAAUGAACCAUCAGCUUGUCUUGUAUGCUGACUUUAGACAGACCGAGGGUGCCAUCUAGUGAGGCCUAGGAGAAACACUUUCAAAAGUAAGCCCAUGCUGUUCCACAUUCUUAGUAGGAUCAGAGAGGAAGAGGUGAAGUGAGAGGAUUUACUCUGCCCAAAAUCUCUCUGUGUGAGAAACCCUUUUUCGUAUGGAGGUCUAUUGUCUCAGAGGGCACCAGGCCUGGUAUGGCAGUGGGGAUGGUGGGGGCCAGAGACAGACUGGCCCUUUGACAUAAUCCACUACUCCAUCACUUCAGGAGAGGCCAUGUUCACUAUGGACCCUGAGGGAGGGGAGCUGUAUCUGGGUGGAGAGCUGGACUUUGAGCAGCAACAGGUGUAUGUAGUGGGGGUUCAGGCUGAGGACGAUGACCAGGGUGUGGACCGUACCAACGACAAGUGGAGUUGAUGAAUGGGCAAAGAGCUAAUGCACCCUUGUACAUGUAUCUAGUACAGUAUAACCGAAUACAUCCUUUCAGACAUG